GAGUUUUGAUCCUGGCUCAGGAUGAACGCUAGCUACAGGCUUAACACAUGCAAGUCGAGGGGCAGCAUGAACUUAGCUUGCUAAGUUUUGAUGGCGACCGGCGCACGGGUGAGUAACACGUAUCCAACCUGCCGAUGACUCGGGGGAUAGCCUUUUCGAAAGAAAGAUUAAUACCCGAUGGCAUAGUUCUUCCGCAUGGUGGAACUAUUAAAGAAUUUCGGUCAUCGAUGGGGAUGCGUUCCAUUAGGUUGUUGGCGGGGUAACGGCCCACCAAGCCUUCGAUGGAUAGGGGUUCUGAGAGGAAGGUCCCCCACAUUGGAACUGAGACACGGUCCAAACUCCUACGGGAGGCAGCA
rnacentral:rRNA from 1 species